CCUUGUCGUAAGAGAAGAUACCCAGGUGAGAGAAGAACGUCUCCAGCACCGCCUGUUCCACCGGGACCGGGGCUGCCAGCGGGAUAGACUCCCCCAUGCGAGCUGCGCUCCAGCUCCACCCACGUGGCUCGCCUCUCCCUCGCACUUCCGGGUUCUCAGGGAACGGGCGCACGAGCGUGCGUGCGCGUGACCGCCGCAAGCGGCGGGCUCGUGAGCGCGCGGCCGCCUGGACCGCGCCUGGGCCUUAGAGAGGGCGCGGUUAAGGGUCAAGGCGGGAGAGGGAUGGCGGCUCCUUAGCUCCUGAGUGACUCCGGCGCAUCGGUUCCCGCAGCUCUGACUAUUCGGACCCUCAGGGCAGAGCGCGAGGCGGCCAGCUCGCUGCUCCGUGGAGCUGACGGCGUUCUGAGGUGAAAAAGGAGGCAGCAAUGGUAUCUUUUUGGGAGAACCAGGGAGGCUUCCUGGAAGAGAACGUGGCUGUCCUUAGUGGAUGAGUAGAUGGCUUCCCUGGUGGCGCAGUAGUUAAGAAUCCACCUGCCAAUGCAGGGGACACGGGUUCAAGCCCUGGUCCCAGAAGGUCCCACGUGCCACGGAGCAACUAAAGCCAUGCACCACAGCUACUGAGCCUGUGCUCUAGAACCCACGAGCCACAACUACUGAGCCUGCAUGCCACAACUACUGAAGCCCGCAUGCCUAGAGCCCGUGCUCCACAACAAGAGAAGCCACCGCAAUGAGAAGCCCGCGCACUGCAAUGAAGAGUAGCCCCCACCCGCCGCAACUAGAGAAAGCCCGCGCGCAGCAAGGAAGACCCAACCCAGCCAUAAAUAAAUAAAUGAAUAAAUAAAUUUAUUUUUAAAAAUCUAUCUAAACUUAGGUCACCCCAACAAAUUUGAUGUUUUCUCAUCUAUUGUUUUAUAUGUUAAUUUUUUAGUUGGUAACAUUUUAUGAAUAAUCUUGCAUGAUGCCACUAAGUAUUUUUCUGUACCACAAUUUUUAACAGCUACCUGGGAUUCAUAUGGCACGUUACACUUAGUCUUGCAUUCUUGAAUAUUUUGGUGUGUCCUGGUUUUCACUGUGGCAAACCCUAAAACUUGGCAGACCAACACUCAUUGCCAACUUCCCUCUCAC